rnacentral:rRNA from 1 species
UACAGAGGGUGCAAGCGUUGUUCGGAAUUAUUGGGCGUAAAGGGCGCGUAGGCGGUCGUGACAAGUCACUUGUGAAAUCUCCGGGCUUAACUCGGAACGGUCAAGUGAUACUGUCGGACUAGAGUACAGAAGGGGCAACUGGAAUUCUCGGUGUAGCGGUGAAAUGCGUAGAUAUCGAGAGGAACACCUGCGGCGAAGGCGGGUUGCUGGGCUGAUACUGACGCUGAGGCGCGAAAGCCAGGGGAGCAAACAGG